rnacentral:rRNA from 1 species
GACGAAGGAUGCAAGCGUUAUCCGGAUUCAUUGGGUUUAAAGGGAGCGUAGGUGGCCUUAUAAGUCAGUGGUGAAAUCCUGUUGCUUAACAGCAGAAUUGCCAUUGAUACUGUAGGGCUUGAGUAUAGUUGCCGUUGGCGGAAUAUGACAUGUAGUGGUGAAAUACAUAGAGAUGUCAUAGAACACCGAUUGCGAAGGCAGCUAACGAAACUAUAACUGACGCUGAGGCACGAAAGCAUGGGGAUCAAACAGG